UUGAAAUAUUAUUUUGAAAUUAAAUUAUAAUUAUAAUAUUAUUUUGAAAGCUAUUAAGGAAAAUAAUUUAUCUAUUCAACAAGUCGCUUUAGAAUUUCAUAUUCUCAUCGUUACUACUACUGAAAUGUGACAAUUACCUAUACUACUACUGAAAUGUGACAAUUACCUAUACUACUACUGAAAUUACCUAUACUCGGAGUUGAUUGUCAUACGUAGAAUUUUCUUGUAGUAACGAUAAUUAUAUUAAGUUCUAAAGCAGCUUGUUGAUAAUAUAAAUUAUUUAUUUUAUAUUUAAAAAAUUGAAUUGAGUUAAAAAAUUUAAUCAAGUUAACAACUUUUUUCUCAGUAAAUGAUACAUUCAGAACUAAUUUUUUUUUUUUUUUUGAACUCAAGGGAUGCAAAUGACGUAUCAUAAUGUAUAUAUAGCGUUGAAAAAUCUUCCAUCCACUUUCUCGUAAAAAUCACCGUUAAAAAAUCUUAUGAUAAUCUAUCCCAGUUUUCUCUUCGUGCCCGCACGAAUCGGCGCGGGUCGAUCGGCGGAAUCACGCGCGGCGAAGACCGAGAAUGGAAGCCCGUGCAUGCGACAUCGACGUAGGCGGAGGACGAGGCGGGAGGGCAAGAUCGCGAAGACGAAGGGCGAAACAAUCCGGCCGAGCAACCUACGUGCUUCCGCCGGUUCUCCGCUGACUGCUUCCACUUGCUCGCCACUGCAUUUACGUCCGUCCAUUACCGUCUGCCUCCGUCGUAAUAAACAGAGACGGAAUCACCGACGGCGGCAGAGAUGUGCAAAAUCAUCGUGAAAAUAAAUACCUGUUAGAAGAGGCUUCGACGUCGAUCGCGAUAAUUGUGACACUUGGCGGACACGUCGUAGGAAAAUUUUUCUGACGUUGAUAUCAACGAUCGUUCUAAAGUGAUACGGACUGUGGCUGUUCAAUCGUGUAACUUUUUCAGAGAUAAUUCAUUUUACUUCUAGCAAAAUUCUUUUGCGCAAAAUCAAACGUGUUUCUAUGUCGACGACACCAACGAGGCAUGUCCGAACGAAUGUUCUAAACUUGUACUACUUAAAUUGAAGUUGUACCGUUUAGUUUAUUAUAUAUAAGACGAUAAAAGAGAAAAGUGGCCGUGCGCUACAAAGCCUUGAACUGUAACAAGUUUCCUUUGAAAGGUAUUCUUGAAUUCUGUUCCUUAGGAUGAAUUUCCGUUGACAGACGUUUGAAACUCGUGCUUAGAUAUCCGCUGAUUGAUAUGCUGAUCGACCUUGCAAAUCUUUCCUAAGGCUUUAAGUUCAGAGAAGAGAAAAAAAACGACAGAAUGCGAAACGAAUAUAAAUCACGCCGUAAAACGGAGGUAAUUUUGUGAACCUUUUAGAGGCUUCGAGCGUGUCUAGAUUCGUUGGGGCGUGGAUACGCGGGUAGGGAGAAAAAAAUUAGGUCGUCGCUUUGCGCGUCUCGGCACGAUUAUAUUCAGAUCUAACAAAAGCUCCUCCGGGUCAGCGUCUCGAUUCUACUGUCGUAAUUUACGUAACAAUCAUGAAAAUAACAAUGCCACAUUGAGAAAAAUGAUUUGAUUACACCAACAAGACAUGUAUGAUUGAGUGCGUUUUAAUGAAAACCAAGCAAAAUUUCUGAUUAUUAUAAUAGGACUCAAGGUUUUAUAACUAAAAUCAUUUGAUAGACUUUGUUAUAAUCCAUACAAUUUAUGGAAGAUUUUUUAUUCGUCUAUUUUUGGAUUGACAUAUAUUGGCCGAAUACAGAGAUUUUCAAUUAAUGCAACGAGACUUUUUUUCAGGUCGGUAUUACGUAAAUUCUAAAAGCUCAAAUAUUCAAAUCUCGUCACGCACUCGAGGAAUAAUCAUUAUUUAUUACAUUUAUAAAAAUUAUUAAUGCCGCGUCAGACGUUUCGCAAAGAAGUGUAAUUUUUUAAGCGGAUUGAACAAAAUUCUUCUUUUACAGGGUAUAAGACGCAACAGAGUGCACGUUAUAACGGCACAGUGCAGUAUAUUAUAGCGCGUUACACACCGCUGACACAAGCUAAAUCAAUGAACUUGGCUGUAAUGGUUAACGAAAUGUCGCCGCACGGCCAAGCACACGUACACUCAUGGUCCACCGGACAUUUGUAGCUAUUGGAGAUAUCCGGAGGCGUCCUUGGCCCGAUAAACGGAAGCUCAUUUAUCCGGGCAGCCGCGAGUCCAUUCCUGGACGGAUAAUUAAGCGAAGACACGCGAAUCCCGACUAUAGGGAUCUAACUCCUCUUAAUCCUUUUCCCGGCCCGCGGGGCGAGCAUCUCGUUUAUCGCGUUAUAUUCUUUCUCGGUCUCAUAAAAGAUAUCGAUUACCGUAAAUAGACUCUUUUGGUAAUUAUCGGCGCACGGGUUAUCGCACAGUUCCGUGGCAGAGACGAAAACCUGUCUGAUAAGAGACCGAAUUACGUAAGACAUUGUUAUGCGCGCGAUAUUAUGAAAUACUUUGAGAAAAUUAUAGUAGAUGGGCAAUUUUUUCUGAAAUCGCAUCACUCGUCCAAAUGUCUUGUUUUAAAAAAUUAUAAUAAUACAAAAAAUAUAAAAGAAAUUACACACAAAAGAAAAGAAAAUAUUGAUGUAAACUAAAUGUUUUUUAUAAGUUCUAAGCCCUUUAUAUAAAAAGCGGUGUGAUUUCACCAAUCUUCCCCAAUUUAAUAAUCAGUUCCACUUCACACACGGAGUACACAAUACAUUUUGACAGAACGGUGCAAUAUAUUACCGUUUGUUCGUGAUGCAAUAAAAAACCUUGCCGAGAAAAAUUGCCAUGCCAUCAGAUGGAUAGAUACGAGACCGGUAUAAAAAGAAGGAAAUUGAUGAGAAGCAAGGACGAGGGGAGGGAGGAAGAGUGAGAGAAAUGAAAGAGCGAGAGUCCGAGAGAACGGAAUCUAAGGGAGCAACGUGGAAAAAUCGAAAGCUCGUGUUCUUUCAUACUCGUUUCGACAGCACACACAACGGCGACAGCUGUGGAAGCGUGCUUUUCGACCGCUCCAUUGGGAGCUUGCUCGCAGUGGUGGUGGUUCGCUCGCAACAAGACCGGGUUUGCCGUGUUUCCCGAGGGACAACAGGAACAGCGCGCGCCUCGGAUAGCAACUUUCUUGGGAAAUCGACGAUGGAUCGGUGUAUAAUUCGACGUCGACUUGGCGAGCGUCAAGCGUCUGGCUCGACGUAGCAAUUAUUACUGUCCGCAGCCUCGAUGGAGGAACUACGUAGCUUAAUUGAAGAAUUAGUUUAGGGAGCCCGACUCACGCUCGCGUUCCCGGGAACGGUCGGCGUACGCGUAACACGCGCAGAAAAUCGCAUCUCGCGUGAUAAUUCGGGACAUUCGACGAAUAUCAAGACGCUGAGGGCGACGAUAAUGAAGCUCUUCACGAAAUAUGAGCAGGUGUUGCGUGCACAAUAGAAUGUGAAAUUGCGAAAAGAAAGGAAUUUAAUAUUAAGAAAUGAGCGAGAGAAAACGUUUAAAAAAAUGUUGCAUAAAAAUUAUACUUAAAUUAAUUCAUGUUAUAAGUUUACUUCGUGUUAUAAAUUAAUUCAUGUUAUAAGUUACUUAUCGCAUCCGUAUUAGAUUAUAUUAUACCAAAUAAAUAAGAAUUAUAUAUAGUAGUAACUUUGUAUAACUUUAGUUUCUUGAAUUAUUAGCACUAGCACCUUUGCAGAAACCGUUGAACGGAAAAUACGCUUCUUCCGUUUAUCGACGUUGACCAUGAUGCGUUCGAUAAUUCUUCAUGCACGACUGUAAGUGGGUUAAGACGCAGUACAGUCAUACCGUUGCCGCAAAACUUAGAAUUAUGAAUUCUAUCAUUCAUUUAAGAAAUCAUAGCUUUCUUAUAUUGACCUUGCGUAGAUGUAAGUACAUUUCUUGUAAAAAACAUGUAUUAAUUUAUUGAUAUCUCUGUUAGAAAUUUUAAAAUGUUAUUUGUUAUAUGCACAAUAAAUACUGCAAACAUCGAAUUUAAAGAAAUGUAACAAUGUAUAAUGUUAAAAUUACUCCAUCAGUUAAUAAACAAAUAAGAAUGCAUAUAUAUAUAUAUAUAUAUAUGCAUUAUAAUUCACAACAUAUAUUGUGAAUAUAUGAAUACAUUCACAAUAUAUCACUACAGAAUAACUGUAUAUUUAUUCUGUCCAUUUAUUCAAAAUAAUCAUACUUACCUGUAUCAGCAGAGAAUGAAGGAAGCAAGGAUGUAUAUAAAACAUAAAGGAAUGUACCUUACAGCUCUGUAAACAGAUAAGACUUGAUAACUAUUCAAUUAAUUUAUUUGCACUUAUCGUGAUUAUCACUCGUAAGUAUUAGAGAUACGUAAACAAUUAGUUUGAAUUAACUUAAAUACAAAUAAUCUAAGAUACAUCGUCGCUGUUACUUCUUUCUCUUUUUCAUUAACGUCAUAUUCACAGAUAAAAGCGCGAUUGCAAUCGCCAAUACUUUAUUUCUUUCUUUUACCUCUUUUUAUAUUAUUAUAUAUUAUUUUUAUACGUACACAAUCAAUUCGUAUUGAUCUCGCCGAAAGAAUUACAGAUCUUUUUCCAUGGAGAUCCAUUUCUUUGAAGGAUGUUUAUUGUUGCAAAUUGUUGUGAACAACUACCGUGAUGAACGUCCGCAUGAUGCGAACGCGUAAUAUACAGUCACGAAACUAACUGUCCAGGCACAGAAUAUAGAAGUUUAUUUCGUGCAACAAAUUAAUGAGAUGUUAUACUACUUGAGUGGAAAUAAAAACUCUAGUGAUGCAUUUCCAUCAAAAGUACGCUUUUAAUUUGUAUAAAUAAUAUCUUGUGUUCGGACGAUUAAUUUCGUGACUGUAUACGUCAUUCCGUUCGAGUCGAUUUAACUUUACUUAGGAAACGAAUGAAUGAAAUCAAAACAAACGCGCAUGAAGAUUCAUGGACAGCUCGAUGUGUAUUUCAUGUUUCUCGCAAGUAAAGAUAGACAGUCAAUUGUAAAUAUAGAAAAUGCUGAGACAUUUCUAGAACAUUUAACACAUUAUGCAAAAGUUUCGUUUUUUCAAUAUACGAAUACUCGCUUGUGUUUAUUAUUACCAGCCUUGAUCAAUUAAGUUUCGAGUCCAGUCUCAUUACAUACAGUAUAAUUAGGAUCUAUAAAACGAUCUACAAUUAAAUUCGGAGACCGUUGAUCAACGCUGAUCCCAGAUCGCUGUAAACAAAACGAGCAGUAGCGCAUCACGCAGAUAACCGUCUGUCGUAAUUAUUGCUUUAAAGAUGACUACGUAGACCACUACAAAUGCACUUUGUGAUCUGAGAGCCGCCGAUUACAGCGAUAAACUUUUACAUAGACACACGUAGAAUAAUAUCUGCUUACAAGAACUUAUUUCGGGAGGGAAUGGAGGGCGUUGAAAAAUCGUGGAAAAAAAACCUACUUAAAUUAUGAGCAUAAGUCGCAGAGCGAGAUUGCGACUUGAUAAACCCGCGGGAGAUUUUAUAUAUUCUUAUAUAAACUUUUCAUGCAUUUUACGACUACUUACAUGUAUCAUUACAAUCUAUUCGUAUCGAUUUCUGCGCUCAUCAAUGGGAGACCCUCUCUCAGCCAUUCGCUUUCAUUUUCAAGAACGGCAAUCGCGAUGCGUAAAAAAGUGUCACUUUUACACUGCACUACUGUACGUCCGAAUACAGACACCUAUAGAAAACUUGAAAAAAAAAAUUAUCUCGAUAAAUGAUCCCUCGAUAAAUAAAUUAAUUAAUUACCCGUAGUUUUGAUUGUAAUAAAUUUGACAUUACAAAUACUUCAAAGCAUUUCAUUUACCAAUCAGAACACAAAGAAUUUUAUUAUAAUUGAUCAAUGAAAGAAUUUUACAAGGCAUUUAUAGGGUCAACUUGACUAUAUUCUUUCGUUGGUGUUAUUUUUCAAUUUGGAACACAAACAUCAAAAUAAAUAUUUUAUCAUCUAAAGCGUAAUACAAUUAAAAAUCUCUCUAUCACCUAAUUUUACGAUGAUAUUCAGGAUGGAAAGAGAGGCAGAUGCGGUGUAUGUUACUUGAAAUCUGCUUGAAAAAUGGCGUACGAUGUCAUUAGUACUCUACUUAACGGUUGUGGUCAUCCGCUGCGAAUUGGUUGAUCAAUUAAUCGGAGGUACGCGUAGAAUUAGAUAUCGUGCUCUCGUUACCUCGCGUAACAGAGCAUCGAUUUCCCACGCGAAGUAACGAUGUCGAAGACAUGUGUUGUACGUCUAUAACUAGCUGUCGAUUUGCAAGCGUUAAACUUCAUCGCCGCGCUGCUCGAUAGAAGAUGAUAAAUAAAUAAAUCAGCGAUAACGAGAGCUAAUCGAUCCCGAGAUCGCACUGCGCAAGUCCGUCCGAGGAUGCACUCGAUAAAACGUUGCGGCAAGAGACGGAUGAUACCCAUUCCAUCGAUCAAAUAUACUUGCAUUUAAAUUAUAGCAAAUAAAUUUUCUCAAGAUGAUCGAUUUUUUUCUUGUAAUAUAUAAAAACAGCGAAUUGGUAACUCACAAUUUGAUUUCUUGCGCGAAAUUAUUAAUUGUCUGAAACAAAGUUUUUAAUUUACCUGUUUAAAAAAAAAGUCAUUUAACUUACCCGUAAAACUGGCUAAAAUUUUUCUUAGUAUUACGCCAAUGAUUUCUUAAUUAAUUUGACCUCAUAUUUCAAAAUUGGAUUUUCGUAAAUUAUUUUACCCUGCGAGAAGAUUAUGUUAUUACGAAAGAGAAAAGACGUUAUCGUUAUACCGAUUCGUGUCGAGAGCGACGUAGUUUAAUAAACGCGCGCGUAUUUACGGGUUAAUGAAAAUCGCGCUUUCGAAGCCGUUUGCAACAAUUGGCAGGUCACGCACACCCGUUUUACCGAGUCGAAUGCCUUCGGCAUUCGAAUUGCCUUCCUGUCAUUACGCACGGUGCCCGACAAGGUCCGAACGUCCCGCAAACGUGAAUGAGAAGCUAGAUGUCGGGCGUUAUACGCAUUCCCCAUUUCCUAAUCGGAAGUUUCAAUGCAAAAGUGAAGCGAGUCCACAAUUUAUAAGGUCUACUUUAGAGAGAGAUAGACUGUAUCAUACUCACAAGGCUAAACUAAAUUUUUUUAAUUUACUUCUCUCCUACGUAUAAUCCAUGGUUACACAAAUUCGACGAUGUUUUUGCGGUCUUUUGCGACAAUAAAAUGAAAUAUAUUGAGUAGAAAUGUAAAUUAAAUUGAAACUGUUAAUAGAAAAAUAUCUCUCUUCUUUUGACCCAGAAAUAAGUUUGUUUUAGAUGACACACAAAAAGGAAGCUUCACGAAUUACAGAUUUACCUCAUUUUCGCCCUGAAUCUUUACAUUUUGUUUUCAUCAUUUCGACAAGGUUUACUCCAUUUUUUUACGUCAUACUGGCUUUAUUAUCGGAUGAAAAGAGCCGGAUGGUACUAUUUAUCGUGAUGAAAUUUCUUCUGCUCCGUCACAGUAAAACUUGACAUGAAAAAAUAGACAUUUUUUAUAGAUUAUACUUGUACACAUAAUAUACAGUGUAGGGAUUGUCUACGAUAGAAUAAGACGAUAGGGGCCAUUUCGUGGCCAUUUCGAGUAUAUAAAUAUACUCUAAAAAUAUUUUCUACACAAAUAUAAUUCUUGCUUCCCCUGGAAAUAGCCGAGACCACCGCUGUGAUAAGUAUAACGAAAAACGUCAUAUAUGGCGAUGCAACAUCCGCGCGCGGGUGCUUUGCGCUCGGUUUGGUCACGGACACUUAAUCAUCCCAUCUGUGCGUUAUGUGGGAGUUAGAAGCAAAAGUGAUGUAAGUCAAAAGUCUCGUAAAUCGCGUCGAAGAAGAAAUCUCAAUCGACUUGGGCGGCCAUUUACGUGGCGUGUGAAUCUCAUUGUCGUUAACGCGGCGUAGACAGUCAGUCUGAAAUCUGUUUUUUUGUUUUUCAACGACAAAUGUGCGAUAUCCGUAGACAUCGCGAUCUCGUGAUAAGCGCGUUAUCAUUUAAUCCUCGCAAAUCUUCGUCAAUUGUAAAAUGUUUAAUGGGAAUGCACGAGGAUACAUAUUCAAAAAUACGUAUUCAAAAUACGGACGAGCCAAAUGACGAAAUGGUUAUCAAUCAAAUUUAUUCUCCAGCUGAGUCUUAUCAAUUAUCACGUUCGAAGCGCGGGCUUAGCCUCGUUCGUCAACGGUUUUAACAGCGAGUAACGAGUUGUGUACUCCGCGAAUUAAUGCCGCGCGUAGCUAACAAUAGAACACGCGCAUCUCUCCCGCGGCGCCUGCGAUUGCAUCCUCUAUGCAACGAAUUACAUAAUGAGGCACAAACGGCAUUCCGCCACGUAAUCACGAAACAUAUUUGCGAUUACAGCGAUGGUGCUUUGUCGGAAACGAUGAUGUCUAUGCCGCGAGCACGGGAAUUAUUUAUAAGGUGAACGGAGAGGAAGGAGAAAACUCGUUUCCGCGAAGUGGAAAAUUUUUUUCCUGUCAAACGCGCAAAAACGGAUCCAACGUUUAAAUUGUGAUAAUGCAUAAUUUCGCGAUAAGGCGCCGCGAUCCGUCAGUUAUAUUUAUAAGUACGAAACGUAUGCACGAUUUGACACACCUUAUUGCUGAUAAGGCUCGAAUAAAUUUUUCCACAGCGAUACGAGAGAGCUGGUCCUCUUGAUCGCGCGGGAGAAACGGUACGGUCGCGCGAAAAAAAAAAAAAGAAAAAUACGACAAUAAAGGAUCGACGAACGUACGAGUUGAAAUGAAAUAUCGUUGACCGUGAGUUAUGGAGCGGAUCGAAUUUAUGGGUUUUAACUCACCUAACUGUUCGGUAAUAUAAUUAACGUGUAAAACGCAACGCGCGUCAUUUAGGUAGACGGGCUGCCUCGCAUGACGAAUGAGAGUCUUCUAAGAUUUACUAUCUGUUGUAUUCGAUAAUUACGUCGAUAAAAAAGUAAGUGGUAAUAAUCAGGUGAAGUAAUUAUAGUCGUUUACCUGCGUAUUAGACAUAAUUCGAAUCUGUUUCAUAACACAUCAACGGCGCAUAAUACAAAAUAACAAGUACACAGGUUGCGCUAAAGUGUCUAAAAAAUUCAUUUGAAAAUAAUUUUGUCCGACCGAAAAUAACUAUAACAAACGAUCAAGUGUAACGAGCAAUACUGAUAAAAACUUUGACACUUUAACAACCAGUUUAACCGUCCUUUAUAGUUAUUUACUUUCAUCUGCGGUCGGCUAAAUCUUUUUAGAUGCCUCGGUAAAAUCGUUCCUUCCGUUCAACAGGACCAAGGCUAACGAAAUUAACGAGCAAGCGAUCGAAAACACGGAUAAAAAUCUCGCGGUUCCCACACAGCCGAAGAGGGAAAAGCUUGCCCGACAGCUUGUCACGUUCCUCGGUAUUGUUUGUGAAAGACUAGAAAUCGAAAGUCGAUAGGAGUCGCACGGAGGCGAAUUAAGCGCACGUCGACGAACGGCGUCGUCGCGCGAAACAGGUAGCGUUAUCAGAUAUCCGCGGCUAUAUCUUCAUGUUGUACAAACAUUACUGGUAACACACAACGUAGUAAUAUUGUGAUUGUUCGCCGCUCCCCCACGAGAGAGUGCGUCAAUUUUAGCCGCGCCGCGCCGACAGGCUAUAGUAGUGCCAAGGCCGUGCCGUUGGCUUUUCUCUCGAUCCGCCAUCGCCAUCGCUAUUUCGAGGAUUUUCUUCAAUUCGUCGCGCGGCACCAAAACUAUGUAUCGGCGUCCGCCAAUUUCGCCCGACUCGAAAUGACACUUUGCAGGUGUCCGCGCGAAGAUUAAUGUUAUUUCCUCGAUUCGUUUUUCCCCCUCGUCCUUUUUUUUUUCUUGCUCUCGGAUUAAUCUGGGAACAGCAGUGACAAUAUUUCCGCCGACGAAGAGUGACUCGCAAUUAUUAUUAAUUAGAUGGAGUUUACUGUUAUUUGCAAUUUAACAUUAAUAUUGAAUAUCGCGUACAUUAAUGAAGCUAAAUAUUAUGUUAAUUAAUUUAGAGCAGCGUGAUAAAUCACCGUGGAAAAUACACAGAAUGUCGGACGUAACGUAUUCAAUAUGUAUUUUUAUACGGUUUUUUUAUGCUAAUUUCUUCUCAGUUAAAUAAACCCUUCUAAUCUAAACUUUUUAUAACUCAAGAUUUAAUUGCUAGAAGCAUUCAAUAUCGACCAUGUCAAAGAACAACUAUUCCCUUUGAAAUUUUUAUUUAGAAAAGAAUUAAUUUCAGCACGCCGGAAAAUAUAUCAUUGAAAUUACGCUCGGGAGUUUUAUGACACUUUGUGUUAUGCCACGAAGAGAGUUAAAUAUAAUUUAUCAAGAACGGCAAAAAUACUCUUUCGUUGCACAACGCAACUUGCGAUAAAGUUUCGUUGACGCAGAAGCGAUCCCGUGUGUGUGUGUGUGUGUGUGUGUGUGUGUGUGUGUGUGUGUGUGUGUGUGUGUGUGUGUGUGUGUGUGUGUGUGUGUGUGUGUGUGUGUGUGUGUGUGUGUGUGUGUGUGUGUGUGUGUGUGUGUGUGUGUGUGCGUGUGUGUGUACCGACGAUGUACACCAAUACACAGGCACGAAAUCUCGUAUCCGUCACCAUGCCAGCAGCACCGUUAACAUCGUGUCACACGUCGGUGUCAGUAACAUCAAUGUCUAGGGUUACCAGGGCCUUUUAAUCGGUCCGUUGUCCAAUUUGUUUUAACAUGCCUUCUGUCAUUUUCCACUUAACCAACUAUCGCGUCAACAUAAAUUGAGAAACGUUUCGAUUAUUAUCGCGGGUAAUAACGACGAGACACAAUCGCGGAAACUUAGCGCCUCCGGACAACUUGUGCGAAACUCAUCCCGAUUUUGUCCGCGGCACGCAUAAUUUUUUUUACUGUAAACAACCUUAAUGAGACCGUUCGAUCAAUUCGCCUCGCGAACACUCGCGCCUGUGCAAUGACUUGGCCCUCCGGGAUUUUGUGCCGCGUCACGGUUGCGGAUUUCAUACGAUCGAUAGAAUCUCCUUUCGAGCGAGGCGAACUUAUAUCCUCACAUCGGGAAGUAACCCGAUUUCCGGUAGUGUGCUCGACCCACUUGUUUCAGUCCCCCGCACGGUAACUCUAUCCGCAUUGAUCAUGUCGUGCAUCGUCAUGAUUAUCGAUUCCCGCGCCCGUCUCUAUCCAAUAAAAAAAAAAAUAAUCGCGAUCAUCCUACGCAACGGAGGAAGCGACGUGUAAUAUCGCGUGAACGGUGAUUCGAGGCCCCGGUCGUUACCGUGACAAUGGCGCGAGCACGAAUACGUUUUUCCGGCUUCACCCACUCUUGUUGCCAAGCUGACGCUCCCUCGAUUACGCGCGACAAGAUUCAGCCGAUGCACGCGAAAAAAAAACGUUAUUGAAAAAAAUCGCAACAGAUAUUUCAAUUUUUUAAUUUAAAUACACGCACAAAAAAAACAGACGUAAGCUUAUAACAGUGAAUUAAAUCAGAACGUCUCUACGUACGUAUAACGAAUUUCGGAGAAUUCUUUAAUUAAAAAGCUUCAAAUUGCAGCAACGAAAUGGAAAUAAAUGUUGGAAACGUUUCGAGAUAAUUUCGACAGCAGGAUAUUGUAAAUGUCGCUUAACCGCACGUCAUGCAGAUGCAUUUUACGUGGACGUAGGACUAGGCACGACUCCGCAAUACGGAAGAGGAUCGUGUUAUUAUGACGCUCCCCUUCGUGAUCGCGAAACGCAAAGCGGACGAUUCGGGUCGACGAUCGCCAUGCUGAGCGAAGCGACCGGCGAGGAACGACGAUGAAGUGGAUCGGAUAGGAUUGCGGAUGGGAGCGCACGCGUGUGCGAUGGAGGAGCGGACGUGGACCACACGUGGCACGCGAUAUGCGCGGGGCAUGGGGAUCUGAAUGCGGCGAAAAAGAAGAGAAAAUAAUAAUAAUAAAGAAGGGAGAGAGAGUUGAAGCACGAUGUGCGCCAUGUAAAUUAUACAAUCUUUACAAUAGGAUUUAUUUAAAUUAUAAUAUUUACAAAAAAUGAGAUUUUUUUUUUUUUUUGAUAUAUCCAUUAAUUAAUUCGAUUAACUCAUCGGCUGCACUAGAUCCGUAGGGUUAAUACAGGUCCGAUCCUCAGGGGGACGUUGCCUACGUGUACAAUCGCAUUUAUAGCGGCUAACAAUCGGCUACGAUUUACAAACAUAAUAAUCACAAGGCGAGAAAAAUCCUCACUUUACAAUAUACUCCUCGAUGCAAAAUAGCGAUAAUAUUGGUUUUUUGUAUUUUUUUUUCCUCCCCCUCUCUCUCUUUCUCUCAUUAAUUCUUUUGUAUGUUGUGUAUUUUUUAUAUUUUUACUUUUAUACUCACAGGUAUAUCCCUAUCGUGUCCCUAUACACGUACAGACAAGUUUAAAUACUUCACUCGUACGAACUUUGGCGUAACAUCGUUAGCGGACAAUUACUAUUAUUAUCAUUAUCUCUUUUUAUUAUUAUUAAUAUUAUUAUUAACGUUAUUCGCCGUGCACACACACGAUCCUCGUCUCCGGCGCGUAAAAACGAUCUGGUGCGUGUGCUCUUUCUCUUUCUCUUUCUCUCUCUCUCUCUCUCUCACUCUCUCGCAUCCUCUCGAUUUUCGCAAACGUGGCGAAACGCAAAUCGCUUCACGAGUCGCAUCGCUUUGUUUUUCGCUCUCGCACUCGCGAAUCCGCUCGCAAGUACACUCCUCCUUCGCUCUUCUUAUCAUCGUUUAUCUAACAUCGCUAUAAAACUGACGGAAAUCAGAGAGUUCUUCGAUAAACCAACUAAAGUCCCGUGAUUGCUGCAAGUUCAAGCGGCAAAUUCCACUUCAGACCCGCGCGUUGCUGCUUAUUCAUAAUGCGCACGUAACUUUCGUUUAUUUCUGCCGUGCGUAUCCGAAAGACGAGGUCUCGGAUAUCUCGGGGAGACGACGACGUCUCCCGCAUCGUAACUGCUUCGCGAGCUAUGACGAAUAAUCGGGCAUACUCCCAUGCACGCACAUACAUAUAAUAAAGUACACAGGUAUAUGUACCUGUAUCGACGUUGCGAUUCGACCGCAUUAUGAAUUCACAAUUCGCUGGAUAUGUGAAAGAGGAGCGUAAUCGGAAUUCGAUCGCGGCACACCCGCGAGCGCUGCGAGAACGAUCAUUCAUUCCGAAAAAAAAAAAACGUAGCGGAACCAUCCCGAUGAAAAGAUCGGCCGGGGCGUGGAGCGGAGGGAGGAGGGAUGAUGUUGCUCCUCGCGCCGAUUUUUCCGAUCUCGACCUCUCUCGCAAUUUCGAGUUUCCGCUCCGUACAAUCUGGUAUACAAUCUGGCCACGUGGUUUCUCACGUGGUGGCUGAGGUGCCACUCGAACCAGCGUCAGUUAUGAUCGCGAGUUCGCAGAAGCCUCGCGAGAGAGAGAGCGACGAACAAUCUGGGAUGGACGCGCUACGCGACCGCAGUGGACGUUUUUCGUCCUUCUUGGUAGGAACGUGUGUAACAGAUAUACGUGCCAAUCGCCGCGCGAUCCUUCCAAGAGUGCACGGAUUGAAGACACACACACAUACACACGUGUGCACGCACAUACAUACAUACCCGCACACCCGCACGCAUUUAUAUGUAAUAUAUAUGUACGCACGCACGCAGGCACGCACGCCAAGAAAAUCGAUUAAAUCAGUGCGGGUACAGCAGAUUAACUCGGAUUUCGUUAUUUCUUAAAGGAGCCUUUACAUACUUCACAGUAAUAUAAAUCAGAUCUCUAAAUAAUGUUACCGAACCUCUACAGAUCGCCUAUCUUCUCCUUCUCCCUCUCUCUCUCUCUCUCUUUCCUCCUCUGUGAUUACGUAUUGAUGUCCAUUUAAAAAUACCGCAGCUGUAAUCUUUACAGAGGUAUGUUUCACUUGGUCAAGAACAAUCCUCGUUUAUUCUACUGCUCUAAGUACAUGCAUUGCGUCGAUUUUGCGUCCACUUAAAACCUUAAUUGGUCCGAUGGAAUCACGGCCGUCAACAUUGCCAAUCUCAUUAAAAUUAUGAAUAUUUUGUAUAACAUUGUCAUAACGUUUGUCCCUAAUUUCAUAUAAUACAGAUAAUCCGAAUAUUAUAUAAGCUUUCCAAUCGUCAUUCCUUUUAAUAAUAUAAUAUUGUCAUUUAUUGAUAACACGUCUUCUGCGUUAAUUUCGUUUCACAACGCGUUCACCCUUUUUGUCUAUAUCGCAUCGUGAUAUAUCCGUAAAUAUAUUACAGUUUCCUCUUUGUCAUACCAGAAUCCCAUUUCCAAAAAUAAGCAAUAUUUGGGUCGUGACUCUCGACAAAUAUGCACAAUGUUAUUUCGACGGACCAAUUAACGCUGUAGGUUGACUGUUUUCGCAAAUGCGUUUAAUUCUCAAAGCAAACAACUCGCGAUGCAUCGCGAGCAUCAUGCGCAUCCCGGAUGAAAACAUCAGUUUAGGGACAACAAAAAGGGGUCGAAAAUAAAAUUUCCAGCGGGCGGGAAUUUAUCUACCCUAUUUCGCUCUCCCUCUCCCUGCUCUCCUCCCACGGCGCUGAUUGACGCGACACAAAAAACACCGAAACACCUCGGUCCGCCGUGUAUUUUUCGCUCGCGCGUAUUUUUCGCGUUAUACAUCGCGAAACGCGUACCUUCGCUUUCUCGCCGUAUCAAUGAUUUCGCGCGCGAUUCUGUCGAUGUUUAUCACCGAGUAUACGCGAGUCUUCGUUGUAUCGAAAUUCCGCGGAUGACAGAAUGUGAACGACACAGAAACGGCGGUCUCGCGAAUGCACGCGAUCAAAUUGUUCGCGCGUAUACGCAUCCGCGUGCGUAAUCGGGUGGCACUUGAGGCGUGUCGUGCAUUCGAUUAAAUAUUUACCGAUCCGAAUCAUUAACACCCGACGGGACAGAAUGACGGCGGAUAAAUUCCCGGCUGACGAAGGAAAAUUUCGCUCGCCUUCUCGACCGCGAGCCGUUUCCCCGUGGAAAAAUACUCGACAUUAAUCCCAGCAGGACCAAAAGGCAGAGCCCAAUGUUAGCCACUUUUCAAGAUUUCUUUAUAAUUUUAUAUUUGUAAUUAAUCGUACUUUUAUUCAUUAUACUUUUUUACAUUUCUGCUCGUUAUAAAAAUUUUACAAUGCACGCACUUCUGAAAACCGCUACAUGCUUUUACAUCACAUUAUUAUUUAACAUCACAUUGUUACGCGCAACUAAUUCUAACAAUUUCUUCUCCCUACAGUCUCUCAGUCCGUUAUAAUCGCCCAUCGCGAUUCAAAGCUCCUUCUGCUAGGAUUAAUCUCGGACAAAGAUGUCUUCGUUGCACAUCUUCAGUUCGACGAUUGUAACUGAUUGUCAUCUCUCGUGUCAAGAUCGAACGCGGCUUUUAACGCAAACGAGAAUCCAAACAUAUCCAGCAUAAAAUGCGACACAGAAUGAAGAUAUAACAGCCACAUACAUACCAGCUUUAUCGAGAACGAAGCAAUUGUGUCUAGAAAUGUUGGUGUUGGCCGAUUAUGUCACACGAUUAUGCACACACGCGUAAAUGCGAUUUUAAUGCUUUCAAAGUAUAAAUAGAUUUCCGCGAGCGUCGCGUCGCCGCGGAACUCUUCGCUCACGAUUAACGUGGAAAUCAUUUUCUCACAUCAACGUAAUCCCCGCGGAUACACAAGAUUUCCGAAGAAAAAGUUUUCAAUAGGAGAUUCUACAUGAAUUGGCGUGAAUGUCCUUUGGUAGAAUUUUUCAGGAAAGGAAAGGUCAAGCUGUUGUAGAAAUACUUUAUGAAAUAAUUUAGAAUUCAGGAUUUUCUCGGAAUUAUUCUUAAAUAAACAAGUGUCGAAUAACAGAUUUUCCUUCCAAAAAUCAAUCUCAUUUACAUAAUGGAAAAUUUUAUCUCUCCGAACUACAAAAUUUAAGUUUCGAACUUCGAUACUCUCGUCGAAAAAACAGUCAACAUCAGGUCGUUUAAGAAAAAAAAAAAAAAAAAA